rnacentral:rRNA from 1 species
AGCAGCCGCGGUAAUUCCAGCUCCAAUAGCGUAUAUUAAAGUUGCUGCAGUUAAAAAGCUCGUAGUUGAAUUUCGGGGUCAAUAUGUUGGUCGUGCCUUGGUACGUACUAGCCUAUUGAUUUCUCCUUUCUGACGAACCAUGAUGUCAUUAAUUUGGUGUCAUGGGGAAUCAGGACUGUUACUUUGAAAAAAUUAGAGUGUUUAAAGCAGGCUCGCGCUUGAAUACAUUAGCAUGGAAUAAUGAAAUAGGACAUUUGAUUCUAUUUUGUUGGUUCUAGGAUCGAUGUAAUGAUUAAUAGGGAUAGUUGGGGGCAUUAGUAUUCAAUUGUCAGAGGUGAAAUUCUUGGAUUUAUUGAAGACUAACUACUGCGAAAGCAUUUGCCAAGGAUGUUUUCAUUAAUCAAAAUCGAAAGUUAGGGGAUCGAAGACGAUCAGAUACCGUCGUAGUCUUAACCAUAAACUAUGCCGACUAGGGAUCGGAUGAUGUUAAUUUUUUAAUGACUCAUUCGGCGCCUUACGG